ensembl:snRNA U6 U6 spliceosomal RNA
GUGUUCGCUUCAGCAGCACAUAUACUAUAAUUGAAAUGAUACAGAGAAGAUUAGCAUGGCCCCUGUGCAAGGAUGACAUUCAAAUUCGUGAAGGGUUCCACAUUUAA